GGGCCCGCACAAGCGGUGGAGCAUGUGGUUUAAUUCGAUGCAACGCGCAGAACCUUACCGAGACUUGACAUCCCGUGCCUAUCUGUGAAAGCAGAGUCUGCCUUCGGGCACACGGAGACAGGUGGUGCAUGGUUGUCGUCAGCUCGUGUCGUGAGAUGUUGGGUUAAGUCCCGCAACGAGCGCAACCCCUGUCCUUAGUUACCAGCGAGUAAAGUCGGGGACUCUAAGGAGACAGCCGGUGAAAGCCGGAGGAAGGUGGGGAUGACGUCAAAUCAUCAUGCCCUUUAUGUCUCGGGCUACACACGUGCUACAAUGGUCAGUACAGAGGGAAGCGAAGUGGUGACAUGGAGCCAAUCUCAGAAAGCUGAUCCCAGUUCGGAUUGCAGGCUGCAACUCGCCUGCAUGAAGCCGGAAUCGCUAGUAAUCGCAGGUCAGCAUACUGCGGUGAAUACGUUCCCGGGCCUU
rnacentral:rRNA from 1 species